rnacentral:rRNA from 1 species
CGUUCCCUCUGGCGGUAGGCCUAACACAUGCAAGUCGAACGGCAGCACAGUAAGAGCUUGCUCUUACGGGUGGCGAGUGGCGGACGGGUGAGGAAUACAUCGGAAUCUACUUUUUCGUGGGGGAUAACGUAGGGAAACUUACGCUAAUACCGCAUACGACCUACGGGUGAAAGCAGGGGAUCUUCGGACCUUGCGCGAUUGAAUGAGCCGAUGUCGGAUUAGCUAGUUGGCGGGGUAAAGGCCCACCAAGGCAACGAUCCGUAGCUGGUCUGAGAGGAUGAUCAGCCACACUGGAAAUGAGACACGGUCCCAACUCCUACGGGAGGGAGCAGUGGGGAAUAUUGGAAAAUUGGCGCAAGCCUGAUCCAGCCCUACCGGGUGGGUGAAGAAGGCCUUCGGGUUGUAAAGCCCUUUUGUUGGGAAAGAAAAGCAGCAGGUUAAUAACCCGCUGUUCUGGCGGUACCCAAAGAAUAAGCACCGGCUAACUUCGUG